rnacentral:rRNA from 1 species
CCUGCCCUAGAGAGAGGGAUAUCCUCGGGAAACUGAGGGUAAACCCUCAUAGGUAACGAGUUCUGGAAUGACUCGUUACUAAAAGUAGGUUAGGAGAAUGGUCCUAGCCUAGCUCUAGGAUGGGGCUGCGGCCGAUCAGGUAGUUGGUGAGGUAACGGCUCACCAAGCCUGUGACCGGUGCGGGCCGUGAGAGCGGGAGCCCGGAGAUGGACUCUGAGACAAGAGUCCAGGCCCUACGGGGCGCAGCAGGCGCGAAACCUCCGCAAUGCGCGUAAGCGCGACGGGGCUACCCCGAGUGCCAUCUUCAUGAUGGCUUUUGCCUAGUGUAAAAAGCUAGGCGAAUAAAGGGGGGGCAAGACGGGUGUCAGCCGCCGCGGUAAUACCCGCUCCCUGAGUGGUGGGGGCUUUUAUUGGGCUUAAAGCGUCCGUAGCGGGCCUAGUAAGUUUCCCGUUAAAUCCAGUGGCUUAACCACUGGGCUGCGGGAAAUACUGCUAGGCUUGGGGGUGGAAGAAGCCACCGGUACUCUUAGGGUAGGGGUAAAAUCCUCUGAUCCUAAGAGGACCACCAGUGGCGAAGGCGGGUGGCUAGGACACGCCCGACCGUGAGGGACGAAAGCUGGGGGAGCAAACGGGAUUAGAUACCCCGGUAGUCCCAGCUGUAAACGAUGCAGACUAGGGUUGUAGGAGUGGCUACGGGCCACUCCUGUGCCGAAAGGAAACCAUUAAGU